UGGUAAUGCCGGAUGCUCCGACUCCUCGCAUGGGGUGUCGGGAAAGAUUCAUCGGUAUGGGAUGGGGUCGCGUCCUAUCAGGUAGUCGGCGGGGUAACGGCCCACCGAGCCUACGACGGGUAGCCGGCCUGAGAGGGCGACCGGCCACAUUGGGACUGAGAUACGGCCCAGACUCCUACGGGAGGCAGCAGUGGGGAAUAUUGCACAAUGGGCGCAAGCCUGAUGCAGCGACGCCGCGUGCGGGAUGACGGCCUUCGGGUUGUAAACCGCUUUUGAUCGGGAGCAAGCCUUCGGGUGAGUGUACCUUUCGAAUAAGCACCGGCUAACUACGUGCCAGCAGCCGCGGUAAUACGUAGGGUGCAAGCGUUAUCCGGAAUUAUUGGGCGUAAAGGGCUCGUAGGCGGUUCGUCGCGUCCGGUGUGAAAGUCCAUCGCUUAACGGUGGAUCUGCGCCGGGUACGGGCGGGCUGGAGUGCGGUAGGGGAGACUGGAAUUCCCGGUGUAACGGUGGAAUGUGUAGAUAUCGG
rnacentral:rRNA from 1 species